rnacentral:lncRNA from 1 species
UGGAGAGAGAAUCACUGAAACAGCUAUUUAUACAGUGACUACAAGCCAUGGACUAUUGGAGAGAGAAUCACUGAAACAGCUAUUUAUACAGUGGCUACAAGCCAUGGACUAUUGGAGAGAGAAUCACUGAAACAUUAUCUAUUUAUACAGUGGCUACAAGCCAUGGACUAUUGGAGAGAGAACCACUGAAACUUUGUCUAUUUAUACAGUGGCUACAAGCCAUGGACUAUUGGAGAGAGAUCCACUGAAAUAUUGUCUAUUUAUACAGUGGCUACAAGAACUAUUUCAGAGAGAAUCACUGAAACAUUGUCUAUUUAUACAGUGGCUAUAAGCCAUGGACUAUUGGAGAGAUGAACAGAGACAUUAGGUGUCUACACAUGCCGAGAGAUCAACUCAAAUUGAACAUUGGGUUGCUGUCUACAGGGUGAUUACAAGCCAUGGACUUCAACAGGGAGCACAGACGGACAAACCGACAGACCGACGGACAGAAGGACAUGGGACUAUUACAAUACAAGCCGUUGACUUCAACAGGAAGCACAGAUGAACGAACAGACGGCCGGACAGAGGGACAUUGGAUGGGUACAAUACAAGCCAUUGACUACAGUAGAUAGCAACUGGCACUUUGAUUAAUGUAAUUGACUUCUGUCUUCUUAUGGCCUUGACAAUCCACAUACACACGACAGCUGUGACCUCACAGUAGACACACAGUAUUUAUCUGUUAUACGUACGUCCUCGCAUACUGAGUGAGUGCUUCCAAAAUGGCACCCUAUUCCCUAUUUAGUGCACUACUUUCGACUGGGGCCCAUAGGUUUUGUCCAGGGCCCAUAGGGUUUGAACAGGGCCCAUAGGGUUUGAACAGGAUCCAUAGGGUUUGAACAGGGCCCAUAGGGUUUGACCAGGGCCCAUAGGGUUUGAACAGGGCCCAUAGGGUUUGAACAGGGCCCAUAGGGUUUGAACAGGGCCCAUAGGGUUUGAACAGGAUCCAUAGGGUUUGAACAGGGCCCAUAGGGUUUGACCAGGGCCCAUAGGGUUUGAACAGGGCCCAUAGGGUUUGAACAGGGCCCAUAGGGUUUGAACAGGGCCCAUAGGGUUUGAACAGGGCCCAUAGGGUUUGAACAGGACCCAUAAGGUUUGAACAGGACCCAUAGGGUUUGAACAGGGCCCAUAGGGUUUGAACAGGGCCCUUAAGGUUUGACCAAGGAGCAUAGGGUUUGACCAGGGCUCUGGUCAAAAGUAGGUCACUACUCAGGGAUUAUGGUGGCAUUUGGAACUGACCCACUAACUAUAAUGUGAUUUUGGGGACUUUGGGACAAAAAGGCUCAUUUGCUAACUGUCUCAGUCGAUAGCAACAAAGAUGUUUAUGUCCGAAAAAUAACAUAAUAUUACCCAAAUCAUGUUCCAUUAUUAAGGCUUCUAGUGUUUUACCCUCAGCAGUGAAGAAAAGGGGUCCCAAAUGGCCCUCUGUUCCCUACAUAUUCCCUAUGGGCCCUGGUCAAAAGCAGUGCACUACAUAUUGAAUAAGGGGUCAUUUGCAACCAGCUCUCACAGUCUCACGUCGGAAUUAGACGUUCGCCCAUGUUUCCCAAACGUCACAUUUUGAAGUGUUUGGUUACUUCGUACUUUAUCGUUCGAAGGUUAAGGUUGACUUGCCAAGUUAAAUAAAG